rnacentral:rRNA from 1 species
GACGAACGCUGGCGGCGUGCCUAAUACAUGCAAGUAGAACGCACAGUUUAUACCGUAGCUUGCUACACCAUAGACUGUGAGUUGCGAACGGGUGAGUAACGCGUAAGUAACCUGCCUGGUAGCGGUGGAUAACUAUUGGAAACGAUAGCUAAUACCGCAUCAUAUUCAUUAUUGCAUGAUAAUUAAUUGAAAGGUUCAAUUGCACCACUACCAGAUGGACCUGCGUUGUAUUAGCUAGUAGGUGAGGUAACGGCUCACCUAGGCGACGAUACAUAUCCGAACUGAGAGGGUGAUCGGCCAAACUGGGAAUGAGACACGGCCCAGACUCCUACGGGAAGCAGCAGUAGGGAAUCUUCGGCAAUGGACGAAAGGCUGAACGAGCAAAGCCGGGGGAGUGAAGAAGGUUGUCGGAUCGUAAAGAUCUGUUGUAAGAGAAGAAAGGGAGGGAGAGUGGAAAGUUCACACUGUGACGGUAUCUUACCAGAAAGGGACGGCUAACUACGUG